UGAGCCACCAACUGCUAACUAGAACCUGGAGGGGCGCAAAACAAAAUUGAGUGGGUCAGUAAAACAAAACUUUUCGAAAACCUUUCAUUUAAAACAUUUCUAAACCCUCGCUGUAAAACCUGUAUACUUUCCCAGAAAAUAGCAUACUAGCAUAAUACUUCUCAUUUAUCUCAAAUCGUCAAUCUUUCUUAAAAACCAGAAAGUAUGCCAUGUUAAAAACUUUCAAAAACAGAAUGAAUGAUGCAUCAAUGUAACAGGUGAAAUAAUGAAUUAACCAAAGACCCUGCAGUUGAUCUUGUACGGUUAAUUCUAUAGCUCAACACCAAAUCCAUCCGAAGUCACCUCGGUGACCUGUACGGCACUACACUACAUAUACAUCGGAACUACCUGAAGUAGUCUGUACGAUAAGGAUGGUGUAAUAAUAAUACGCUCUAGUGCUUCUCUCAUCAAACAUCUGUGUACACAAUCUAAGGUCACCUAUCAGUCGGAACCCUCAUGGUCUGUACGACAUGCACCUACUUGGAUCCAAGGUGAGCGUGCGGUGCGAGGUAAAUAAUAUAAGCACUAACACCAUGAUUGCAGGUUAUGAGCUAUCAACAUAAUACACAUCAACAAUGCACAUGAAUAACAUAAAACUCACUUGAUACUCACAUGUGCGUCCACAUCACCAAUUCACAUAUAUAUAUGCAUCAAUUAUCAAUUCAUAUAACUCCUAUCAUGCAUGCAUGGCAUUUGAAAACGUAUUUUCGUUCAAACUCAAUUUAUGGGAAACAUAUCAAUAGUAUAUAGGUAUAAAUAGAAAUAUUGCCCACUCACUGAUAAGUCGAAGGGUCGUAACCCCCGUGACGUCCCUGGAUGCGCUCGUCCUCGGGAUAGGUGUCACCUAUAUGCGAAAUAACUAUAAAAACGUUAUUUAAAGCACAUAACCAAUAAUUCGUAAUAAUUUCUCAUACGGUGCUCAAAUUGGGUAUAGGAAUAUACCACAGUGACCUACUCAACGUCAUGGAUGUCAACAAAAUUUUAAAAUAAUUUUUGGGCUUGUCACGCGCCCCCACGCGUCGUGGGUGGCACGGACCUACGCGCCCCCACGGGCGUCUUCUUCAACCAGUCGCCGGACUGCUUUUUUCGGUGGCUGGAUUCUGGGCAUUUUUCAAACGCCUUGUUCUCUGUCAUUUCUCAAUCAUUUUCUUCGUAUUUUAUAUCAAAAUGAAGCCCUAAACAUGUAGUUUCACGUUACACUACUUUAAGGCUCUAAAAAUCACGAAAUCUCAUCGGAGAAAUUCCAAGAAAUCGGCCAACUUCGAACUACACGAUCCCGACGUCCAAAACUUCCAAACGAACGUCCCCGAGCUUCGUGAGAACCUCCUAAAGCUCACUGUGAGCUUGGAUUGUCCUAAAAAUCAACCAACAUAAAGUUCAUGAACAGUGCCACAAUCGGUGCUUGUGAUUUCGACGUGAAAUCGAAAGAUUUCUUACCUGAAAUGGGUGUGGUUGAGUUCGUAUAGUCCUCACGAGCACGAUGGUACCUUCACAAUCUUUGAUCCGUGCUUGUAGGCUCGAUGGUGAGUGUGUCCGUACGGUUUCGAGAGUGAGAGAGAGACUGAACGGAGAGGAGAGAGAGAAAGCACGGGGAAGAGGGAAGGAAAAGGUUGUCCCGAGUGUGUGUUGUGUGGUCCAUCCAAAAAAAAACAAGUCCAACUCACAACCCUAGCCACACAAACAUACAUAUCACUUUAUUAAAUCAAACUUAAUUCAUUUCCAAGAAUUUAGGAAUGUAUGUUUUAAACCAAUUAUAUGUCACACACACAUACCUUAGUACCCGCUAAGGGUAAUUCCAUCAUAUCACGUCCUCGAUGAAUAAAAUCCCGGGACGGGCUGUGACAGUCUUCCCUCCUUAUAGAAUUUCGUCCUCAAAAUUCAUACAACCAAUCAAACCACUUAAUACUCAUAAAAUAACCUCGGAUACAUCUCUUUCAUUCGAUCUUCUGUCUCCCAAGUAGCUUCUUCUACUGAGUGGUUCUUCCACAAUACUCACCGUCUUAUUCCUUAGAACUUUGUCUUUCCAAUCCAAGAUAGUGACUGGUUCCUCAUCAUACGUCAAAUCCGAAUUAAUCUCUAAAGGUUGAAGAGGAAUCACAUGCGAAGAAUCUGAAACAUAAUGUCGAAGCAUCGAGACAUGAAACACAUUAUGAACCUUAGAUAACUCCGGAGGCAAUUCCAAUAUGUAAGCAACUUCAUCAAUCCUCUCAGUGAUCUCAUAAGGUCCUAUAUAUCUAGGACUUAGCUUGCCUCUCUUUCCAAGCCGUACUACACCUCUCCAAGGUGACAAUUUCAAGAAUACCAAGUUACCCACAUCAUAAACUCGAUUAGUAGCAUGUCUAUCUGCUAAACUCUUUUGUCGAUCUUGGGCCGCUUUCAGGUUAGCCUUAAUCACCUGAACAUUUUGGGUAGUCUCAUCCACAAUCUCUGGGCCCUCAAGCACUCUUUCACCGACCUCUGACCAACACAAUGACGUACGACAAGCUCUACCAUAGAGUGCCUCAAAUGAUGACAUACCAAUGCUCGAAUGAAAACUAUUGUUGUAGGCAAAUUCCAUCAAAUCUAGGCGAUUAUGCCAAGAAUCACCAAACUGCACCACUGAAGAUCUCAACAUAUCCUCUAACGUCUGAAUAGUCCUCUCAGAUUGUCCAUCUGUCUGAGGAUGAUAAGCAGUGCUAUAAAGUAAUUUCGUACCAAGAGCUUCCUAAAAAGCUAUCCAAAACUUAGAAGUAAAUAUUGGAUCUCGAUCAGAAAUAAUAUUCACUGGAACGCCAUGAUACUUCACAAUCUUUGUGAUGAACAACUUAGCCAAUUUAUUCAGAUGAUACUUUUCUCUCACUGGAAUGAAGUGUGCUGACUUGGUAAGCCGAUCUACAAUCACCCAAACGCCAUCAAAUCCAUUCUGAGUACGUGGAAGCUUAUACACAAAAUCCAUAGUGAUAUUUUCCCAUUUCCACUGAGGAACGGGAAGUGGCUGCAUCCGACCAAAAGGUUUCUUCCUUUCUACUUUGACUUGCUGACAAACAAUACAUCUACUUACGUACUCAACAAUUUCCCUUUUCAUACCUGGCCAAUAAUAAAAUUGGUGAAUGGUAUGAUACAUCUUGGUUCCUCCUGGGUGCAUUGCAUAAGCCGAACAAUGUGCUUCAUCCAAAAUUUCUUUCUUUAAUUCCUCGUUAUUCGGCACAUACAUCCUGUUCUCUUGCAUAAGCAUGCCAUCCGACUCCCGAAUCCUGAGGUCUUUCUUUUUCCCUUCACUUCUCAACUGAAUCAAUUCUUAAAUCUCCUCAUCAACCAACUGAGCUUCAAGUACACGAUCAAUCAAACUAGCCUGACUUGAAAACUAGCAAGAAAAGCUUCUCUUCGCUCUUCCAUUUCCAACUUUACUCCUGUAGCUCUCAAGUCUACAAGUAGAGGAACACGGCAAACAUACAAAGCAUUAAGUCGACCUUGAGGUUUUCUACUUAGUGCAUCAGCUACCGCAUUUGCACGACCCAGAUGAUACUCAAUGGUGCAGUCAUAAUCACUUAGUAACUCCAUCCAUCUUCGCUGACGAAGAUUAAGAUCAUGUUGAGUGAAAAGGUACUGAAGACUCUUAUGAUCUGUGAAGAUCUUACAUUUCUCACCAUAGAGAUAAUGCCUCCAAAUCUUCAAAGCAAAAACAAUGGCUGCUAACUCAAGAUCGUGAGUAGGAUAAUUCCUUUCAUGAAUCUUCAACUGUCGAGAAGCAUAGGCGAUCACUCUUUGAUGCUGCAUCAAAACACAUCCCAAACCAUUCAAGGAAGCAUCACUAUAAAUCUCAUAGUUACCACUAUCGUCAGGAAGUACCAAAACUGGAGCGUGAGUGAGGCAAUGUUCAACUGCUGGAAACUUUGCUCAUAAUUCUCAUCCCAUACAAACUUAACAUCCUUCCUGGUUAACUUUGUUAGUGGCAAUGCAAUCAUAGAGAAAUCUUGAACAAACCGUCGGUAAUAACCUGCUAGACCAAGAAAACUCCAUACCUCGGUGACGGUUCGUGGCUGUUCCCAAUUCUCCACUGCUGCAAUCUUCUGAGGAUCAACCUGAAUUCCUUGUGCCGAUACGACAUGUCCCAAAAAUGCCACUUGAUUCAACCAAAACUGACAUUUACUAAACUUGGCAUACAACUGAUGCUCCCUCAAUUUCUUUAGCACCAAGUUAAGAUGUCGAAUAUGAUCUGCUUUCGACUUAGAGUAUACCAGAAUAUCAUCAAUAAAAACAAUGACAAACCUAUCAAGAUAUUGCUGGAAUACUUCAUUCAUCAACCUCAUGAAAGCUGCAGGUGCAUUAGUCAAUCCGAAUGGCAUUACCAAAAACUCAUAAUGUCCAUAACGGGUUCUGAAAGCUGUUUUAGGUACAUCCUCAUCUUUAAUCUUCAGCUGAUAAUAUCCAGAUCUCAAGUCAAUCUUAGAGAACACACAUGCACCUUUAAGUUGAUCAAACAAAUCAUCAAUACGAGGCAAUGGAUAACCGUUUUUAAUUGUUACCCGAUUCAAUUACCUGUAAUCAAUACAUAAUCUCAAAGUACCAUCUUUCUUCCUUACAAACAAUACCGGAGCUCCCCAAGGUGAAGUACUAGGUUGGAUGAAACCUUUAUCAGUUAAUUCCUGUAACUGAAUUUUCAAUUCUCUCAAUUCAGCUGGAGCCAUUCUAUAUGGAGUUAAAGAUAUAGGAUCCGUACCUGGAAGCAAAUCAAUCAAAAACUCCACAUCUCUGUCUGGCGGCAAUCCAGGCAAAUCAUCUAGGAAUACAUCAGGAUAGUGCCUGACUACUCCAACUUCCUCAAUACUGCUAGGAGCAACAUCAUUUAACACUAUAUGUGCUAAGUAUCCUUGACAACCUUUCGAUAACAACUUUUUUGCUCUCAUGGCAGAAAUAACACCAUGUCUCACCCCAAUUCUUUCACCCACAAAAGUAACCUCUGGUAGUCCAGGACGAAGAAAAGUAACUGAUUUCCCGUAACAAUCAAUAUGGGCACGAUUAAUGCAACCAAUCGGCCCCUAAAAUCACAUCAAAAUCCACAAUAUCUAGCGAGAUAAGAUUAGCUGGCAUAACUACGCCAUCUACCAUUACUGGACACCCUGGAUAAACACUAUCAACAUAACAUUUGUCUCCUCUAGGCAUAGCAAACUCUAAAUCAAAUCCUAGAGGUGUAGGGUGAGGUUGUGUCAUUUGAGCAAACAUAUGAGAAAUCACAGAAUGAGUGGCACCACAAUCAAUCAAAACUCUAGCAAAGUGACCAAGGAUGUUUAACGUACCCAUGAUCAAGUCUGGAUGGUUCUGAGCAUCCUGCAGUGAGAUGUGAUUAACACGUCCUUGAGCCUGCUGUCGUCCACCACGACCUCUGUUACCCUGACUACCUCGCCCUUGAGAAGUGCAUCCCUGUCCUGACUGGCUAGCCUGCCUAGACGGUCCUGCGCCGCUAGCAGUAACCUCUCCCUGACGGGGCUGAUUUCCCUGAUGCCAUUGGGAUCCACUAGCUGGCAUAGAAGAAUACGAAGAAUAACCUCCAGGAUCUUGAGAAUACCCACUCUGGAAAUAAAGAUCAUGCGAAUACUGAUUCGGUCCGGAAGUAUAGGGAGCAGCAUCUCCCUAAUAGUGGUAAGCACCACCACGGCCCGUCUGACCAUAGUUGCCUGAUCCAUAAUUCUGCGAACAUGUGUUGGAGGUGGCAUAGUAGACUGCUGAGGUCUCUGCUGACUCUGGGGACACUAUGCAGCUCUAUGUCCCAUAUGCCCACAAGUAAAACAACCACCACUACCACCACUUCUCCUGCACUCUCCAUGAUGCCUGAAGUUACAUCGACGACACAACGGAGCACCUGAACCACCAGCUCCACUAAAAUCUCUCGGCCUCUGAAAUCUAGGUCCACAAGCGAAUCUUCCACCUCUCAUCGGGCCUGUCACACUAAGCCCUCCACUGGAAGAACUAGAACUCGCUCCACUCCUCUUGAAAGUCUGCGUCCUACGGGGUCCCGGAAUAGAGAUACCUUUUCCUCUGUCAUCUCUCAUCUGAGCAUCAUUCUUCUCUUCAUCAUCCUCACUGUUACUGGGAAGGUUAUCAGAAUCCUUCAUCCGAACCAGAAUCUCAGAAAACUCAUGAUAAUCGUUACAAGGAAGUGCACUAGCAAAAGUUCGCCAUUUCCUCUUAGUUCCCAACUUAAAGCGGCGAAGCAUCUCUACUGGAUUACCAGCUGUGUCAGGAUCGUAACGAGAUAAGUCUGUAAAUUUUCUGUAGUACUCAUGCGCCGACAUAUCCUUUUGCUUCAGUCGGGCGAAUUCUUACUUCUUACGGUCAAUAUACUCUGGAGGAACAAAUCUCUUCUUAAAAUUCUCCUUAAAUACCUCCCAAUCAGAUGCCAUCUCUAGUGACAUAAACUGGGCCUGAUUCUUCCACCAACCUGCUGGUUCUCGCCCCAAAAACCAUGUAGUGGUUUCGACCCAUCUAUUAGCAGGAAGGUUCCCUUGACUUUGCAUCACCUGAAAAGUCUUCUCAAUAUGGUCUAGCCAUUUCUCUGCCCCUUCGUGACCCCCGUUACCCAUGAAACGGUCUAACUUCAGGUUGUAUAUGGUCUCCAGGGGUGUUCUCUGAGGAGGGGGAGGAUGACGGAUAACAUUCUGAAAAGCAUGAGCCAUCGCUUCCCCUAAUUGAACUAUAUCGGGGAAGUUAGACUCGGAAGUACGACGUCGUUCCCUACGAGGCGGCAUGGUUCUGACAAAAGACACCAAAAGAUCAUUAGAACAUUAACAAUUAUACAUGACUGCAACCUAGGCUCUGAUACCAAACUGACACACCCUGAUCCUAGAAUCAAGGCAUGUUGGCCGUCACGUGAGCGUGACGUAACCAUAAGCGCGGUGCGAAAGCAAAAUAAGAGAAUUACGAAAUAAUAAAAAACCAACUACUAGCAAGAAUAACCAAAAGCAUGCUAGAGAGAGAGUUAAAGUGUGCAACACAGAAUUUUAGAGCAUAAGCAACUAGGUGCAUUCAAAUAGGACGAUAAUUAAGUUACAACACCCGCAGGUGAGUCCUACAUUAUGAGAGUCUGUCAGAACGCCGAAGAAAGCCUCGUGAGCCACCAACUGCUAACUAGAACCUGGAGGGGCGCAAAACAAAAUUGAGUGGGUCAGUAAAACAAAAUUUUUCGAAAACCUUUCAUUUAAAACAUUUCUAAACCCUCGCUGUAAAACCUGUAUACUUUCCCAGAAAAUAGCAUACUAGCAUAAUACUUUUCAUUUAUCUCAAAUCGUCAAUCUUUCUUAAAAACCAGAAAGUAUGCCAUGUUAAAAACUUUCAAAAACAGAAUGAAUGAUGCAUUAAUGUAACAGGUGAAAUAAUGAAUUAACCGGAGACUCUGCAGUUGAUCUUGUACGGUUAAUUCUAUAGCUCAACACCAAAUCCAUCCGAAGUCACCUCGGUGACCUGUACGGCACUACACUACAUAUACAUCGGAACUACCUGAAGUAGUCUGUAUGAUAAGGAUGGUGUAAUAAUAAUACGCUCUAGUGCUUCUCUCAUCAAACAUAUGUGUACACAAUCUAAGGUCACCUAUCAGUCGGAACCCUCUCAUGGUCUGUACGACAUGCACUUACUUGGAUCCAAGGUGAGCGUGCGGUGCGAGGUGAAUAAUAUAAGCACUAACACCAUGAUUGCAGGUUAUGAGCUAUCAACAUAAUACACAUCAACAAUGCACAUGAAUAACAUAAAACUCACUUGAUACUCACCUGUGCGUCCACAUCAC
rnacentral:lncRNA from 1 species